rnacentral:lncRNA from 1 species
CCCUGCUUCUCCAAACCACAUCGCCUUAUCCACCGAUGCGACCCCCGGGGCGACAACGCUGGUGGACAUCAGUAAUCAAGUUUGUAUGUUCAGUGGCUGCCUAGUAUUGUUCUGAUUUGUGUUAGGUCAUUUGUCAUCAAACUUUUUGUAGGUCAUGCUUUGUAGACAAUUUGAUAACCCAUAGCUAUGUAGGUAGACAAUCGUGUCUAUUCCUUAGUGUCAAUAUUCAGUGCUUCAAAUGAUGGUGAGAGAUGCUAAGAAAAUAUUGUUUCAUUGCUUCCUAUACAAAGAGCUUCCAAAUAUAAGCAUCCACAGUUGGCCGCAAAUUUUUUGGUUUCAUUUUUAAAAUUUCAUGCUUCCACCCAACACUAAUAAUGCACCAUUUGCAUAAAUUUCCAGCUUCAUACCUCUAAAAAAAUGGAAGCAUGACCAUGCCAAAUUUAUGCAUCGAGGGUUGUUUGUUAGAACUGAUGUUAAAAGGCUUGUUUGUUAGAACUGUUGUUAAAAGGCUUGUUUAUUAGAACCUUUGUUCAAAGCUAUGACACUUAUUUUGGAUCAAAGAGAGUUCUACAUAUGCUUCUUCGGCCUGCAAAGUUUGCUGCCAUAAUUCAACCAGUUCUUAGGUGAAUUUUGUAUGUAGGUGACACAACAAGCAUCCUCAUGUUGGCGGCAAUCUUUAAUUAAUUUCCAUGUGCAAUUCUUUAUGCUUCAAAGUAAGAUGAGUUAUAUUGGCAUAGCACCUCUUCAUGCUUCAUACUGAUCGGGCUUCCAAAUAUAUACUUCGCCAGGUUUCUAUUUUUUUGUGUUCUAUUGUUCUUCUUUUGAACACCAUUUUGAUCAAAAUACAAACAGUGUAUGAUGUGACAGACCAAUUUGUUGCUUCAUGUAAGCCAUGUUUUAUACUUUUGUGCCACAUUUGUUUCCAAUGGUAUUGAAUUUUUCUCUUCGUCUCAAUUGUAUAUGCUUCCAUUGCCUAUCACAUAUGUUUUGAUCAUUGAAACAGCUGGUCCAUCUAAGCUAUGGUUCCUACUUUAACAUUUCACAUAUGUUUGUAUAGCAAUGCUUUUCUUUCAUCCCAGUUUUCUGUGCUUCCAGUACCUAUCAUAUAUAUUCUGAUAGAUUAAUUUGUUGCUUCGUGUAAUCCAUGCUUAUUUCAUUUCUUGUGUUUCCAAUAUGUAUUAUUUAUGUUUUGAUACUCUUAAUUUCUCAUUGUGCUUCUAUUUUAUAGAUGUUUUGCGCCAAACGACGACAACCAUGCAUCCUUAGUUUCUCAGAUGCCUUGCACUGACGUCUCCCCACAAUGUCGUUGUGGUGUGUCGACAUGUUGUGGUUAAUAGCUGGCGACAACAUCCCCGUUGCUUGCUGCCAUCAUGCCAAUUUUCCUUCGGCAAUAUUUCGCCUAAGUGUUCCCUAUUAUGCUAGUGCAACCCAAGACAUUACCCCCCCGUUUCAAAAAAACCCAAGACAUUACCCUUGCUUCCCAGCAGACUUCGGUGUUGACCAUGUAAUUUUUUUUGUUAUAAUGUAAAUAAUUUUUGUUGUUGUAACUAUAUUAAGCUUUUGUUGCAUGGGAGCAAAUUCCUUUCUCUUCCAUAGCAAACUUUCAUGGGUUGGAAGCAAUGUACAAUCAAAUUCAUGUUUCAGCGGAAAUAAAUGUAUAUGUUAUCAUUAGAAGCAAAAUCGCGUUGCA